rnacentral:rRNA from 1 species
GUAGGGAAUAUUGGGCAAUGGAUGCAAGUCUGACCCAGCCAUCCCGCGUGCCGGAAGAAGGCCCUCAGGGUUGUAAACGGCUUUUGACGGUGAAGAAUCGACAGGAUGCGUCCUGUUUUGACGGUAGCCGUUGAAUAAGCACCGGCUAACUCCGUGCCAGCAGCCGCGGUAAUACGGAGGGUGCGAGCGUUGUCCGGAUUUAUUGGGUUUAAAGGGUGCGUAGGCUGGAAGGUCAGUCAGCGGUGAAAAGCUGUCGCUUAACGAUAGUCUUGCCGGAGAUACUUCCGUUCUUGGAUGAGGAGGAGGCCACUGGAACGGAUGGUGUAGCGGUGAAAUGCAUAGAUAUCAUCCAGAACACCGAUUGCGAAGGCAGGUGGCUGUACCUUAAUCGACGCUGAUGCACGAAAGCAUGGGGAGCAAACAGGAUUAGAAACCCUAGUAGUCC